rnacentral:tRNA from 1 species
GCUUUCGUGGUACAGUGGUCAGCACGCUGGGCGCGUAUUCCAGAGGUCCGUGGUUCGAGUCCCGGCAAAGCCG